rnacentral:ncRNA from 1 species
GUAAAUUUUUGUAUGUCUUUUUUUAAAGAAUGGAUUUUAAAUUUAAUUUUAGUUAAUUUUUUAUAUUUAUAUUUAUUAUAUAUAUGAAAAUUAAUAAAUUGUAGUUUUAUAGUAUAAAAUUUUAAUUAUUUAAGUUAUUAAGAUUUAGUAAAAUAUUUAAGUAUUAACAAAAUUUGUGCCAGCAGUUGCGGUUAUACAAUUAAUGCAAUAUAAAUUUUUUGGUUUUAAUUAAUUUUAUUAUUUUUAAAAAAAAAAAUUUAUUUUAAGUGAAAUUUAAUUUAUUUAUAUUUUAUUUUUUUAUUAAAUGAAGUUAGGAAAUUAUUUAAAUAAACUAGGAUUAGAUACCCUAUUAUUUUUAAUGUAAAUUUUAGACCAAAUGAUUAAUAGUUAAGUUCUUUAAAGUUAAAAAAUUUGGCGGUAUUUUAGUCUUUUCAGAGGAACCUGUUCUAUAAUUGAUAAUCCACGUUUUAAUUUACUUUAAUUAGAAAUUUAUAUAUCGUUGUUAAUGAAAAUUUUAAAAGAAUAAUUUUCUAAAUUUUUUUAAAAAUUAAAAUCAGAUCAAGGUGUAGUUUAUAUUAAAGAAGAAAUGGGUUACAAUAAAUUUAUUUUUGGAUAAUUAAUUUAAAAUUUUUUAGAAAUUGGAUUUGAAAGUAAUUAAGUUUAAUUUAAUUUAAUGAUUAAGCUCUAAAAUAUGUACAUAUCGCCCGUCGCUUUCAUUUUAAAAUGAAAUAAGUCGUAACAAAGUAGAUUUACUGGAAAGUGAAUCUAGAAGGG